UGUGGGAGGCGCACCCGGGAGGGAGAGGCGACGGGAGGAAGAGGUGAAAAAGUGCGGUGGUGCGUCGGGUCUGGUCGGCGGUGGGUUCGCGUAAAUACGGUAGUUGGCGAGGUGUGCAAAUCAACCCACCACCACUGAAUCAUCACUUCUAUUGUACUAACAACGACUGCUGUAUGCUAGCUUCUGCCAACACCGGAAGAAACCUUGGUGGGUAAAAGAUGUGCCAUGGAAUGGUAGCACCAAAGAGCAACACUGGAUCAUCUCUUGCCUUGACUAGCCAUGGGCUAUUUCUUCUGCUAGUUAUGUUUGGUAACUUUAUUUUGGAAGUACAGGCCACAGAUCUCUUCUGCGUCUUGGGUUUUUCCCCAUUCCCCAUGCUUGCUUUUUGAUGUCUGGUGACCAACUGUGGUAAAUAAUGUUUGCUCGGCAAAUCCAAAGGACCUACAUAAAAGUGAAUAUCUCAUCGCAGAAUGUGAUUCUGGAUACGUUGUAUUGAAUACUCAGCUUUUCAUUUCCCGUGCUCGGAAAAAGUCUGAAGCUUUUCCUGUAUGUGUUACAGAGGUAUUUGUUGAAGUCCAAAAUGUGAUCAUCCUAAUUUGAGUCUUCCAAUUUUCUUCAAGA